AAGUCGUAACAAGGUUUCCGUAGGUGAACCUGCGGAAGGAUCAUUACAGAGUAAACUUGGUGGGUUGUUGCUGGCUCUCAUUCGAGUAUGUGCACGCCUAUCAUUUUUAUCUUUCCACCAUGUGCACCCUUUGUAGGUCUGAUGACAAAAUGCCUAAUCAGAGUACUCACUGAUUACUGGGAGAUUGCUGUUUUCACAAACUGCUUUUCCUGUUUUGGUUGUCUUCCAGAUACUAUGAUUUAAUUAUAUACACCCAUGUAUGUCCAUGAACGUUAUCAAUGGGCCUAUAGAGCCUAUAAACCUAUAAUACAACUUUCAGCAACGGAUCUCUUGGCUCUC
rnacentral:misc_RNA from 1 species